AUUCUUUUAGGAAUAUUGAAACAACAUUAUUAAUUGUGGUAAACCUUAUCUGGCAGUACUUAAGAGUGCAUCUUUGACUUUAUUACUCGAGUGAAUGCACCUUCAAACCGGUUUAACACCAACAUGUCACAGUAAUCAAUACCAUCUGUGUUAAGAUGUCGGGAAUGUGUUAGACGAAUGAUUUUGUUUUAUGGAGCUUUGAAGAGCGAUGAAUGGCACUAAAGUGGUGCCAAAUGGAUAUCUCAAACACCCAUUGUUGAUGUGUGAUGCUGAUAAUACAGAGACAGCUAGAGUGACAGAGUUUGAUGAAUAAACUUAAAUUAAAAAACAGAAAUAACCACCAUCUCUCUCAGAGGUCAUCUUUCUCAUUAUUGUGGGAAACCUCAAAGGGCAUCAGGAAAACCUUCAUCAACCUCUUUGUGCCCAGUGGCUUGUGCAACAGUGUUUCAGAAAUUAUCAUUAAAAUGGGGAUAAUGGAUGACUGGCCACACAUAUGGGGCUAUGGACAAGCUUCAGAGCAGGCUGCCAGGUGGUGGUGUUAGUAGUUUAUACUCCGGGUCCCGGCGUGAGCACAUUGAAGGGUCCCAGAGUGACAGUUCAACCACCCACACCUAUCCUGGGCAGAACCAGUACUAGGUGCCUUCACCUCUGCAAGGAACUGACAGCUUCUGUACAUGCCAGGUGCAGUGGUACAGUGCGAAUGGUCGUAGAAAGGAUUUCAUAACCAAUCACAACAGAGGUCACCUGGUCCGCCCGGGAAUCGAACCCGGGAUGUCCAAUUCAGAGUCCAACGCUCUACCGAUUGAGCUGACCGGGCGGACAUAUUAGCUACAUUAGAUGACAAGCCAUCUAUGCUGGACAUUCUUCACAAUAAAAUGUAAUGUCACAGGAGCUGUCUAUCUCAACAGCUCACACUGUCCGUAUUUGACUAAAGGAAUGAAUGAAGUCACUGCAGAAGUUAGAUUGAGGAAUGUCCAUGUCACUACCCAUCAUUUGGAAGGAGUUGGAUAAAAAAAGUGUGGCCUAUGUAUUGAAACAGGUCCGAUUUCCAGUUACGGACAGUCUUGAUUUGUCUGAUUACAUUUUUGACCAACAUGAUGGUCUAAAAGAACACUUACUGGUAACUGGUAAAAUCAUGGCCCAGUUGUUCCAAGAGGCAGGCGAGUGGGAAGUUACUAGACUCCAUUUCUUUAUGGGUUGAUCUGAGGUUCCAGUUCAGUUAAAGUACUGAUAGAACACCAAGUGUUUGCCAUAAUACAGCAACAUUUCAUUUGUAACUAUGUAUUUGUUUGAAUUGUUGAAACAGUACUGUUUACUAAAUAAUGUGUAUGUAUAUGAAGAAUAAUAUUAUAAAUAAUUUGUAAGAACCUUUUGAUAUUAAGUAAAAUGUCGAUAAGUCUAAAUAUGUAUCUGCGAAUCAUUUUUGUAUAUCUGUAAAGAUUACAUUGCCUAUAUUCCUCAAUUUAUAUUUUUCUUUUAGCCAGUCAAUAACUUUGUUAAGUUCUAUCUUCAAAAUUGUCGGGACAGGGAUUAUAGCCCUUAAUUAACCCAAAUAUGUAACAUUCAAUGCAAAAUUGGCUGCAAUUAGGCAGUUCAGAUGCAGGAACAAACAUCACUUGGGUCCUUAAUAAUAGCUUUCCAUCUGACAUUGAAGAUCCAAUAAAAGGAAUUUGUCAUGUGACUGUUUAUUAACUCUCAAUUUAUUGAAAGUGAAAUUACUUACAUGAUUUGUAAGAACUAAAUUAUAAUGAUAUCAAAUGAUUGUUUAAAUUAAAUAAAAUAGAUGAUUACAUACAUGAACUAUUUUUAUUUCUUGUUUGUCAAUAUGAAGAGUAAUGCAAUGGCUUUUGAAUUUCAUAAAAAAGGAUGGAAAAAUGUAUGUUUAUUGUUUAAGCAAUUAAUUAAGUAAUAAAAGUUGUUUUUUUUCUUUUUUUCAAAUUGUGCUAUCUUAUAAUACAGAUCGUUAUUUGUUUAAUUUUGGUACAAAUGAAGUAUAUAAGGUAUGUCUAAUGUUACAAAUAGCAAAAAUUCAAAUGCAAAUCAUGGUGACUUGACUAAAUGUGAAUGCUAAUUGAAUCAAAAUAGUUAAUAAAUAAUAAUGUUCA